GACGAACGCUGGCGGCGUGCUUAACACAUGCAAGUCGAACGGAAAGGCGCUGCUUUUGUUUGGUUCUUGUUUGGCGCACGCGUGAGUGUCACGUGUGUAACCUCCCCUUAUCUUUGUGAUAUCUUUUCGAAACUGCGGCUAUUACCGCGUAGGAUCUUCUGCUCCAUGUUGUUGGUUGGUAAGUUUCGGCGUUUGGGUAUGUACUCGAGGCUUAUCCGCUUGUUGGUGGGGUAGUGGCUUACCAGGGUUUUGACGGGUAGCCGGCCUGAGAGGGUGACCGGCAACAUUGGGACUGAGAGACGGACCAGACUCCUACGGGAGGCAGCAGUGGGGAAUAUUGCAAAAUGGGCGGAAGCCUGAUGCAGCAACGCCGCGUGCGGGAUGACGGCCUUCGGGUUGUAAACCGAUUUCGCCUGUGACGAAGCGUGAGUGACGGUAAUGGGUAAAGAAGCACCGGCUAACUACGUG
rnacentral:rRNA from 1 species